UCUUCUGAGGCAGAGAGGCCUCCGUUGGACACCAGAGAGAGGCAGCUGGGUGAGAGAAGCAGACACUCUGGGCCUCCCCCAUACCUUUUUUCUCUGGCAGGUGACAGAACGAUGAUGGCAAGACCUCUUCAUCCAUCUCUGAAUGGGGACAGAAUGGAAGCAGCAGCUGUGGAACCAGAUCAGGGUCCAGUGUGCUUUGAAAAUGUUGCUGUUUAUUUCACGGACGAGGAGU